GUGCUUGCUUCGGCAGCACAUAUACUAAAAUUGGAACAAUACAGAGAAGAUUAGUACGGAGCCUGCGCAAGGAUGACAUGCAAAUUCGUGAUGCAUUCCAUAUUCUU
ensembl:snRNA U6 U6 spliceosomal RNA